UGGUGGAGUGAUUUGUCUGGUUAAUUCCGUUAACGAACGAGACCUCGACCUGCUAAAUAGUUCGGCGAAGCUUUCGGGCUUCGUACGUGACUUCUUAGAGGGACUAUUGGUGUGUAGCCAGUGGAAGUUCGAGGCAAUAACA
rnacentral:rRNA from 1 species